AUCAUCUAUUAUGAUACAAAUAAGGCUCUGACAAUGUUGACGUGGCAUUGUCAGGGCUAACGUGUCACAAUGCUAGCAAUCCAACUUCCCGCCCAAAAACGUCGUCUAAUUAUACAUUUAUUAUUUUUGUCGUUUUUUGCGUUGGUCGUUCAGUUACCAAUGCGUUUUUUAAUUUUUUACGCUUUCCAUUGCUACACGGUGUCCUUUGUUUGCUACACGUCUUCCCAAUUAUUUCUACAAUUCUCUCUCCACCGUUUCCCAUUCUCAUUCUCUCUCUCAUUCUCUCUUUUUUUUUCCUACCACCGUUCUCUCUGUUUCACUCUCCCCACCCUUUGUCUUUCUCAUUCUCUUUUUUUUCCUACCACCGUUUGAAGACGAUGCCUUGGUGUUGUUGUUCUCCAAAUGUCGGACGGAAAUGAGGGAAAUGCCGGACGAAAAACUCAAAGGUUAUGCUUUGUUUUCCCUCUCCAUGUGUUUUUUUUCGAUUUCAAAGGUGAUGCUUCGUUUUCUCUCUCCAUGUGCUUUUUUUCGAUUUUUUUCACAGCAUGUUCAUUGUUCUUCUAAAGCUACCUUUUUUUUCCUACCACUGUUCGAAGACGAUGCCUUGGUGUUGUUGUUCUCCAAAUGCCGAACGGAAAUGACGGAGAUGCCGAAUGAAAAACUCAAAGGCUGAAGAUUGACCAGUAAUUCAAUUAGGCCAAGAAAAACUACUUCAAUGGGAUCACUCAACAGUUCAUCACAAAAUACUUUUUACCUGUUUAGUGAAUCUGUAAAAUAGGACAUUUGUGUUGUAAUUCUAAUUUCAAGUUUGUUUUUAAUAAGCAUCUGAAUCUUUUGUAUAUAAAUUGUUCAGAUCACUCAUAAAAAUAUUCACGGCCUAGAUCUUGUGUUGUAAUUACAACAACCAGUUUUACCAAUGAAUAUUUACUUUUUAUUUUCUA